GGCCGAUUGGCCUAAUGGUAAGGCGUGAGUCUCCUACUGGAGAGUUCAACUCAAGAUUGCGGGUUCGAUCCCCGUGUCGGUCG